AUACAUGCAAGUCGAGCGGACUUGACGGAAGCUUGCUUCCGUUCAAGUUAGCGGCGGACGGGUGAGUAACACGUGGGUAACCUGCCUGUAAGACUGGGAUAACUCCGGGAAACCGGGGCUAAUACCGGAUAUUCUUUUUCUUCGCAUGAAGAAGAAUGGAAAGGCGGCUUUUAGCUGUCACUUACAGAUGGACCCGCGGCGCAUUAGCUAGUUGGUGAGGUAACGGCUCACCAAGGCAACGAUGCGUAGCCGACCUGAGAGGGUGAUCGGCCACACUGGGACUGAGACACGGCCCAGACUCCUACGGGAGGCAGCAGUAGGGAAUCUUCCGCAAUGGACGAAAGUCUGACGGAGCAACGCCGCGUGAGUGAAGAAGGUUUUCGGAUCGUAAAGCUCUGUUGUCAGGGAAGAACAAGUACGGAAGUAACUGUCCGUACCUUGACGGUACCUGACCAGAAAGCCACGGCUAACUACGUGCCAGCAGCCGCGGUAAUACGUAGGUGGCAAGCGUUGUCCGGAAUUAUUGGGCGUAAAGCGCGCGCAGGCGGCUUCUUAAGUCUGAUGUGAAAGCCCACGGCUCAACCGUGGAGGGUCAUUGGAAACUGGGAGGCUUGAGUGCAGAAGAGGAGAGCGGAAUUCCACGUGUAGCGGUGAAAUGCGUAGAGAUGUGGAGGAACACCAGUGGCGAAGGCGGCUCUCUGGUCUGUAACUGACGCUGAGGCGCGAAAGCGUGGGGAGCGAACAGGAUUAGAUACCCUGGUAGUCCACGCCGUAAACGAUGAGUGCUAAGUGUUGGAGGGUUUCCGCCCUUCAGUGCUGCAGCUAACGCAUUAAGCACUCCGCCUGGGGGAGUACGGCCGCAAGGCUGAAACUCAAAGGAAUUGACGGGGGCCCGCACAAGCGUGGAGCAUGUGGUUUAAUUCGAAGCAACGCGGAAGAACCUUACCAGG
rnacentral:rRNA from 1 species